GGGGAUUUAGCUCAGUGGUAGAGUGCUUGCCUAGCAAGUGCAAGGCCCUGAGUUCAGUCCCCA
rnacentral:tRNA from 1 species